UAGAGUGCUCAAAGCAGGCCCAGCCGCCUGAAUAUUCGUGCAUGGAAUAAUGGAAUAGGACCUCGGUUCUAUUUUGUUGGUUUUCGGAACUCGAGGUAAUGAUUAAUAGGGACAGACGGGGGCAUUCGUAUUGCGACGUUAGAGGUGAAAUUCUUGGAUCGUCGCAAGACGAACUACUGCGAAAGCAUUUGCCAAGAAUGUUUUCAUUAAUCAAGAACGAAAGUUAGAGGUUCGAAGGCGAUCAGAUACCGCCCUAGUUCUAACCAUAAACGAUGCUGACUAGCGAUCCGCCGGCGUUAUUCCCAUGACUCGGCGGGCAGCUUCCGGGAAACCAAAGUCUUUGAGUUCCGGGGGAAGUAUGGUUGCAAAGCUGAAACUUAAAGGAAUUGACGGAAGGGCACCACCAGGAGUGGAGCCUGCGGCUUAAUUUGACUCAACACGGGGAACCUCACCAGGCCCGGACACCGGAAGGAUUGACAGAUUGAGAGCUCUUUCUUGAUUCGGUGGGUGGUGGUGCAUGGC
rnacentral:rRNA from 1 species